AUGACCUCGGAUCAGGUAGG
rnacentral:rRNA from 6 species